rnacentral:lncRNA from 10 species
GGCGGGCGCCCCUCCCCCAGCCUCGCUGCCGCCUUGCAGUUUGAUCUCAGACUGCUGUGCUAGCAAUCAGCGAGACUCCGUGGACGUAGGACCCUCUGAGCCAGACUACUGGUAGCAGAUGAGAAUGAAACAUAAAUGAAGCAAAGAAUACAUUUCAACGAUCCAGUCCAAGAAUAAGUAAAUGGCAUCCUUCCAGUGGAGAGCUGACAGCUGGGAUUGAUUAAAGGAGUUUCUAGCAUCAUCUGAACAAGUGGAGUAGAAGUGGCUCU